AUGGUAGGAUAGAGGUCUACCAUGGUGGUAGCGGGUAACGGGGUGUUAGGGCACGACACCGGAGAGGGAGCCUGAGAAACGGCUACCACAUCCAAGGAAGGCAGCAGGCGCGCAAAUUACCCAAUCCCGACACGGGGAGGUAGUGACAAUAAAUAACAAUACAGGGCUCUUUUGGGUCUUGUAAUUGGAAUGAGUACAAUUUAAAUCUCUUAACGAGGAACAAUUGGAGGGCAAGUCUGGUGCCAGCAGCCGCGGUAAUUCCAGCUCCAAUAGCGUAUAUNAAAGUUGUUGCAGUUAAAAAGCUCGUAGUUGAAUUUCGGGAUCAAUAUGUCGGUCGUGCCUUCGGUACGUACUGGUAUCAUUGGUCUCUCCUUUCUGACGAACCAUGAUGUCAUUAAUUUGGUGUUAUGGGGAGUUAGGACUGUUACUUUGAAAAAGUUAGAGUGUUUAAAGCAGGCUUUAGCUUGAAUACAUUAGCAUGGAAUAAUGAAAUAGGACGUUCGAACCUAUNUUGUUGGUUUCUAGGAUCAACGUAAUGAUUAAUAGGGAUAGUUGGGGGCAUUAGUAUUCAAUUGUCAGAGGUGAAAUUCUUGGAUUUAUUGAAGACUAACUACUGCGAAAGCAUUUGCCAAGGAUGUUUUCAUUAAUCAAGAACGAAAGUUAGGGGAUCGAAGACGAUCAGAUACCGUCGUAGUCUUAACCAUAAACUAUGCCGACUAGGGAUCGGAUGAUGUUAAUUUUUUAAUGACUCAUUCGGCGCCUUACGGGAAACCAAAGUGUUUGGG
rnacentral:rRNA from 1 species